UUGAACGCUGGCGGCAUGCUUUACACAUGCAAGUCGAACGGCAGCACGGGGGCAACCCUGGUGGCGAGUGGCGAACGGGUGAGUAAUAUAUCGGAACAUAUCCGGGAGUGGGGGAUAACGUAGCGAAAGUUACGCUAAUACCGCAUACGCCCUGAGGGGGAAAGUGGGGGAUCGCAAGACCUCACGUUAUUGGAGCGGCCGAUAUCGGAUUAGCUAGUUGGUGGGGUAAAGGCUCACCAAGGCGACGAUCCGUAGCGGGUCUGAGAGGACGGCCCGCCACACUGGAACUGAGACACGGUCCAGACUCCUACGGGAGGCAGCAGUGGGGAAUUUUGGACAAUGGGGGCAACCCUGAUCCAGCCAUUCCGCGUGAGUGAAGAAGGCCUUCGGGUUGUAAAGCUCUUUCGGCAGGAACGAAACGGUGAGCUCUAACAUAGCUUGCUAAUGACGGUACCUGAAGAAGAAGCACCGGCUAACUACGU
rnacentral:rRNA from 1 species